AUUGAACGCUGGCGGCAGGCCUAACACAUGCAAGUCGAGCGAGCGGCGGACGGGUGAGUAAUGCCUGGGAAUAUGCCAUAGUGUGGGGGAUAACUAUUGGAAACGGUAGCUAAUACCGACUACGCUAAGAUUAGUCCAGGUGAGAUUCGCGAGUUGGUGAGGUAAGGGCUCACCAAGGCGACGAGCUCUAGCUGGUCUGAGAGGAUGAUCCGCCACACUGGAACUGAGACACGGUCCAGACUCCUACGGGAGGCAGCAGUGGGGAAUAUUCGACAAUGGGCGAAAGCCUGAUGCAGCCAUGCCGCGUGUAUGAAGAAGGCCCUCGGGUUGUAAAGUACUGUCAGUAGGGAGGCGUUACCUACAGAAGAAGCACCGGCUAACUCCGUGCCAGCAGCCGCGGUAAUAC
rnacentral:rRNA from 1 species